AUGGCCGGCAUGAAGCUUCCGCCGCCGCCCACGCGCUCGACGAUCACCACCACGGCGAGCGCCGGCUCCCACGAGCUCAAGGUGGAGGGCUACUCCGUGACCAAGCUGCUCGUCGACGGUGAGCACAUCGAGUCCAGCAAGUUCAAGGCGGCCGGCCACGACUUUCAGAUCUGCUACUACCCGAACAAGUGUUGUUGCAACAUUGGGGCAACCCUAGCUACCUCUCCCUCUCACGGCUGGACGGAGGUAGAAGAAGACACAAGACACAAGAAAUUCCGGGCCGGCGCACGAACGCCGCCGUGGGCGCAUGCACGCCCUAAUCUUUCCUCUCCUUUACAAUGUCUACAUGGCUGGCUCCAACUCAACCAACCAAUACACCGGGGGUGGGUUUUAUACCCAACACGCACACACACAGCCAGGCAACAACUUGCCCGGCUCUUAUGCACACGACUUGCUCCACUACAUGCACUCACGCACUAA
rnacentral:rRNA from 1 species